ACAGCAGUAGCCGCGGUAAUACGAAGGGGGCUAGCGUUGUUCGGAUUUACUGGGCGUAAGGGGCGCGUAGGCGGACUGAUAAGUCAGGGGUGAAAUCCCAAGGCUCAACCUUGGAACUGCCUUUGAUACUGUUUGUCUUGAGUUCGAGAGAGGUAAGUGGAACUGCGAGUGUAGAGGUGAAAUUCGUAGAUAUUCGCAAGAACACCAGUGGCGAAGGCGGCUUACUGGCUCGAAACUGACGCUGAGGCGCGAAAGCGUGGGGAGCAAACAGGAUUAGAUACCCGGGUAGUCCCUGUCUCUUAUAC
rnacentral:rRNA from 1 species